rnacentral:misc_RNA from 1 species
AACAAGGCGUACCUGCGGACCUGCGGAAGGAUCAUUACAAGAAUCGAGGCUGACGGUGCCUACUCCCUAGGCUCCGUCCAGUCCCGCUCUCUACCUUGCCUACUGCACCGUUUGUUGCUUCCUGGCGGCGUCCCGUCGCCAGGGCCUUUUGAAAGCCAAGUAUAAGCAUUGAAACUUCUGACAUACACUAAAUCGUACAACUUUUAACAAUGGAUCU